GCGCUCACAGCUUGCAUGGGCGUUGCCGUCGCAGUUUGAGGCUGUGUUCCUUCGCACAGUGAAACGCCUUGAGCCAUGAAGACAGAGUGUACCGUUGCGGUAUUGUUGGUGUGUGCGUUGGCGAUGGCCCACACCUUUCAGGACGGUGCCAGGCGGCGCAGAGAACAGGUUGCUGCAGAAGUCCCAGCUGAGGAAGUGAUCCUCGUGGAUGAUACAGAUACAGUGCUGAACGCGCCCAUAGUGGCGCAGGACGAGGCUGCCAGCGAAGUCUCCCUCAGUGAGACAGCCGACCAGAGCAAGGGACGUAGACAGCGUGCCGGCCGGCCCUUCAACAGGCCGUGUAGGGCCGGCUACAAGAGGUCACGCCGCGGUUGUGUACUUUCCCACUAAAACAUUCGGUGCUGUUCCUCAGGAACUGAACAGAAUCUGUGGACAAACUUGGUGAAGAAGUGUAAUAACUGCGGUAAUAUUUUUGUUGCGAUAAAUAUACUGACAAGUCGUCGUGCUAUUUAAAUGAUGUAACGUCCUGGCAAACUAAUACUUUGUGCUGGAUCAGAAUAUGAACGCACACUCUUCCUAUUACUGUUCAUAGUAGCGUCAUCCAUGCUCAAAGCUUCUGCUUAUCAUUAAUCGUGUUGAGUAUGCAAAGCAUGUUCGCAAACAAAGGGUAUGUUUCGUCGCUGACUAACCUUCAUCAGGGUUCUGGCAGCAAUAACAAAACAGACUCUUUCCUGAUUUUCGUUUACUCUUGUAGCUGGAGGGAUAAAUCCAAACCUUCCCUCCAGUCUGGGAAUGUGGCAUUAAUUGUUUACAUUUUGUUAUGACAUGUGUUUCCCUUUUAAUCUCUCUCGAGCAACUGUUUUCCCUAAACACAUGUUAAAGUCUGAAAUAAAAUGUUAGAAAUUAUUACGCAUUAGAUCAUGUUAUUUCAUCCCAUUCUCCCCGUUUACAACUGCAAUGAGCAGCAACAGUGCAAAAGUGCUGCUUUUUCUUACGUAUUCUUGGCUUCCUGUAUAUCACAAGCUAGUGUUAAGAUCUAAAACCUGAGUGAAAUUAAUGUUGUUUGAGUGCUAGAACCUACACCAACGUAAUUACAGAUUUACUAAUAUGUGACAACAUAUCAAUGCAACGUUUCUGAGGUUGUUGAGAAUAUAUACGACUGUUACUCGACGGAACGAUUUAUAGUGCUAACUGCAGAAGAAAUUAACAUUAUCAAGUGACUAGAUAUUAUCAGUAGGGUAGCAGGGUGAGUUCAAGCUAAGACAACGACCAUAUCUCAGUGUCACUUCCACUCUCAGGUUACACACUUGGGCGACUUAUGUUCAUGGUCAACCCCAUUAAUCUCCUUCCCCUCCUCCAGGGAAUCACGGCACUUCUAUGUGCUACAUACACUACUGGCCAUUAAAAUUGCUACACCAAGAAGAAAUGCAGAUGAUAAACGAGUAUUCAUUGGACUAAUAUAUUAUACUACAACUGGCAUGUGAUUACAUUUUCACGCACUUUUGAUGCAUACAUCCUCAGAAAUCAGUACCCAGAACAACCACCUCUGGCCGUAAUAACGGCCUUGAUACGCCUGGGCAUUGAGUCAAACAGAGCUUGGAUGGCGUGUACAGGUACAGCUCCCCAUGCAGCUUCAACCCUAUACCACAGUUCAUCAAGAGUAGUGACUGGCGUAUUGUGACGAGCCAGUUGCUCGGCCACCAGACGUUUUGAAUUGGUGAGAGAUCUGGAGAAUGUGCUGGCCAGGGCAGCAGUCGAACAUUUCCUGUAUCCAGAAAGGCCCGUACAGGACCUGCAACAUGCGGUCGUGCAUUAUCCUGCUGAAAUGUAGGGUUUCGCAGGGAUCGAAUGAAGGGUAGAGCCACGGGUCGUAACACAUCUGAAAUGUAACGUCCACUGUUCAAAGUGCCGUCAAUGCGAACAAGAGGUGACCGAGUCGUGUAAUCAAUGGCACCCCAUACCAUCACGCUUUCAAUGUGCGUUCACCGCGAUGUCGCCAAACACGGAUGCGAUCAUCAUGAUGCUGUAAACAGAACCUGGAUUCAUCCGAGAAAAUGACAUUUUGCCAUUCGUGCACCCGGUUCGUUGUUGAGUACACCAUCACAGGCGCUCCUGUCUGUGAUGCGGCGUCAAGGGUCACCGAGCCAUGGUCACCGAGCUGAUAGUCCAUGCUGCUGCAAACGUCGUCGAACUCUCCGUGCAGGUGGUUGUUGUCUUGCAAACGUCCCCAUCUGUUGACUCAGGGAUCGAGACGUGGCUGCACGAUCCGUUACAACCAUGCGGAUACGAUGCCUGUCAUCUCCACUGCUAGUGAUACGAGGCCGUUGGGAUCCAGCACGGCGUUCCGUAUUGCCCUCCUGAACACACCGAUUCCAUAUUCUGCUAACAGUCAUUGGUUCUCGACCAACGCGAGCACCAAUGUCGCGAUACGAUAAACCGCAAUCGCGAUAGGCUACAGUCCGACCUUUAUCAAAGUCGGAUACGUGAUGGUACGCAUUUCUCCUACUUACACGAGGCAUCACAACAACGUUUCACCAGGCGACGCUGGUCAACUGCUGUUUGUGUAUGAGAAAUCGGUUGGACACUUUCCUAAUGUCAGCACGUUGUAGGUGUCGCCACCGGCGCCAACCUUGUGUGAAUGCUCUGAACAGCUAAUCAUUUGCAUACCACAGCAUCUUCUUCCUGUUGGUUAAAUUUCGCGUCUGUAGCACGUCAUCUUCGUGGUGUAGCAAUUUUAAUGGCCAGUAGUGUACAAAGUAAAUCAGGGGAAUCCUACGCGUCUUAAUUAGGCAAUUGUGCGAUAUUAUAUUCAUGUAGGUUGAAAUGAGGUUUGUAAUAUUUUCUGUUACAUAGUUUCGGCUACUUUUCAAGACUACAGAUCUAUACACUACCCCCAUCUGAAAGACAUACACGUAGAUCAUCUGAAAUAGGAAAAUUUUUAUGAAUCCUUGGUAGGAUAGCGAAUGUGACAAGUGAAUAUUCUUCCUUGUACAAAAUCUUUAUUAAUUCCUACAUACACAUUCACAUUCAGAAAAUAACCCUUUAUUUAUGUUUAUUUGGUGUAUUUUUAAUAACACCCAACCUAAUUGUAACUUAUUAUUUAAAUCUACAUUGGAAUCUUCUUUCUCCAUAAGUAACUCGACAGGUACAAAUAAAGUAUUUUCUUGAAUACCAAUAUGUUUUUCAUUUUUUUCCUGUGUGAUAUCUAUUUUAUGUCUCUAACAGUUAGUUCCGUUCCUUCCUGCCAAUCUUCUAGCCGAGAGCAUUCAGAGAGUUUAAUUUUACCUUUUAUAUCCAGCGUAAAGCCGUUGUUAUAACACUCCACAUGUUCCUGGGUGUACACAACCAACGCUUCUGCUGCUCGUCCUUGUGGAAUUUCCGUAUAGAACUACCAUUAAAUGUUAUUAUUUUGUUGCUUUUAAGCUCUGCCAGUAGUUGUUCUGUUAGUAGGUGCACAGAAUCCAGUCCAGAACAUUUAGAUACAAUGUAACAAUCCUUUUUAAGCAGAUCCAGGUGGAACUGGGUUUUAUAAACAGAUUUUUCAUGUGUCUUUUAAUGUCGUUAACGUACUCCGAUCCAUCAGUUUUGGCCAGGACUCCUACAUACGAUCACUCACCACUACCAUUAACAGUAAAUGCAGAUAUAUUGUAGUUCCCAAUUGCAGCCAAAUUUUGCAAGACACCGUGUGUUUUGGUGGUUUUUGCACUGUGUGGCGGCGAGCUGUUUCUCGUACUCUCCAAACAGUGUUGGCUUCAUUUCUGAGUCGCUCUCCAUAACGUUCCUGGCGGGCGAAACAGUGCAGUAGCAGAGCUCGCGCGUUUGCUUCAAACUGAGACAAGGUCAAGAAGCCGCACUAUUUACACGUAUCCAUGCAACGGUUGGAUCGUGACGUCAUCAAACUGCUGCCUACGCGGCCCCACUCGGGAACGACGGAGCACAGAGAUCUGCCGCAUGUGAUAUUGCUGCAAUUGGCCGCUUGCCUCAUCCCGCCGCACACGAGCGAUUUGCCAAGCAAUAUCAACCAGUAUUACGAGUGCCGCUGGGUCAAGAAGCUCUGCUAUUAACAAUGAACUGCUAUAUGCGUCACCACUCGCAGUUGACCUCCGUAUCCCCGGGGAUACGUGCAAAAGUGUUACGGUGUAAAGUCAAGCGCCGGCGGGAACGAUAGAGAAUAGAUGGCUGUUAGAAGACGUCAGCCAAUCGCACGCUGACCGACCCCUCUCCAGGACGACAACGCGACAGCAGUGGCCCCUGUGUGAAGAGGACAUAAGUGCUGCGACCGACUGGUGGCAGCCCAGUUCAGUAGCAGCUUCAGGAUGAGCGACUUCGAUAGCAGCGUAGCUCUAGUCACCUCGCUUGUACUCUCUAUGUAGCACAGACUUGGAAUUGUUUAAUACUGAAGAAGCUUGCUUAUUUUGUAUGUCGCCCUUUGCUUGCGACACAUCUGUGUAAUUGUCAAAGUAUUGUCGUUUACUUUUUGUAAUAAAAUUCAUUAAUACGAC